GACAGAGGGUGCGAACGUUGUUCGGAAUUACUGGGCGUAAAGCGCGUGUAGGCGGCAGCGCAAGUCGGGCGUGAAAUCCCACGGCUCAACCGUGGAAGUGCACUCGAAACUGCGCAGCUAGAGUCCUGGAGAGGAAGGUGGAAUGCUUGGUGUAGAGGUGAAAUUCGUAGAUAUCAAAGCGGAACACCGGUGGCGAAGGCGGCCUUCUGGACAG
rnacentral:rRNA from 1 species